AACGAACGCUGGCGGCGUGCCUAACACAUGCAAGUCGAGCGCGAAAGGAGCAAUCCGAGUAGAGCGGCGCACGGGUGCGUAACACGUGGAUAAUCUGCCUCAGGGUUGAGGAUAACCUUCCGAAAGGUUGGCUAAUACUCGGUAAGCUUACGGUGACUUCGGUCGCUGUGAGAAAACUAGACCUCUAUGUCUAAGUUUAGGCCCAGGGAUGAGUACGCGGCCCAUCAGAUAGUUGGCGGGGUAACGGCCCACCAAGGCUACGACGGGUAGCUGGUCUGAGAGGACGAUCAGCCACACUGGAACUGAGACACGGUCCAGACUCCUACGGGAGGCAGCAGUGGGGAAUUUUCCACAAUGGGCGAAAGCCUGAUGGAGCACCGCCGCGUGUGUGAUGAAGGUCUUCGGAUCGUAAAGCACUUUCGACUGGGACGAAAAACCUUUGGCUAACAUCCAGGGGCCUGACGGUACCAGGAGAAGAAGCACCGGCUAACUCUGUGCCAGCAGCCGCCGUAA
rnacentral:rRNA from 1 species